rnacentral:rRNA from 1 species
GACGAACGCUGGCGGCGUGCUUAACACAUGCAAGUCGAACGGAAAGGCCCUGCUUGCAGGGUACUCGAGUGGCGAACGGGUGAGUAACACGUGGGUGAUCUGCCCUGCACUUCGGGAUAAGCCUGGGAAACUGGGUCUAAUACCGGCUAGGAGCCAUUUUUAGUGUGAUGGUUGGAAAGUUUUUUCGGUGUAGGAUGAGCUCGCGGCCUAUCAGCUUGUUGGUGGGGUAAUGGCCUACCAAGGCGGCGACGGGUAGCCGGCCUGAGAGGGUGGACGGCCACAUUGGGACUGAGAUACGGCCCAGACUCCUACGGGAGGCAGCAGUGGGGAAUAUUGCACAAUGGGCGCAAGCCUGAUGCAGCGACGCCGCGUGGGGGAUGACGGCCUUCGGGUUGUAAACUCCUUUCGCUAGGGACGAAGCUUUUUGUGACGGUACCUAGAUAAGAAGCACCGGCUAACUACGUG